rnacentral:lncRNA from 1 species
UUAAUAUAUACAGUCAUUACAUGUAUAAGAAUACAUACUGAUACCAAACAGGGUGUGUAAAUUAUUAUAUAUAACAGUUUAACUAAGUAUUGUGGAACAGCACAGCAUUGUGAAAUAGCAAGAAAUUUUUAUUUGAAAAUAAAUACAAAUCUUUUAACCAUUUUCAAUGGGAUUGUUAAGAAUAGAUCGGUUAUCCAUUAAUCAUAUGCUAUAGUUUGAAAGUAUUAAGCAUGUUAAUUUAUUACAUGUAGCUGAAUGUUCAUCAUACAG